AAGGGGAAAUCACUUUCAUAGGAUGGCCAGUUUGGGCUUCACACUGCAAUUUUCAUUUAAGCUUCGAAAUCGGAGAUUCAUGAAACGUUUGGCCGGAGUUUCGAGCAAAAUAAAAUAAAAUUAUAGGAUCGAUUAAUUGACAGAGAUGGUGUUGUUCAGCUAAGAAAAUCACAAUUCUAGAGCUGUGUAAAAGUUCUCG